rnacentral:rRNA from 1 species
GCAAGUCGAACGGCAGCAUAGAGAGCUUGCUCUCUGAUGGCGAGUGGCGAACGGGUGAGUAAUAUAUCGGAACGUGCCCAGUAAUGGGGAAUAACUAGCCGAAAGGUUAGCUAAUACCGCAUACGACCUACGGGUGAAAGCAGGGGAUCUUAGGACCUUGCGUUAUUGGAGCGGCCGAUAUCCGAUUAGCUUGUUGGUGGGGUAAAAGCCUACCAAGGCAACGAUCAGUAGCUGGUCUGAGAGGACGAUCAGCCACACUGGAACUGAGACACGGUCCAGACUCCUACGGGAGGCAGCAGUGGGGAAUUUUGGACAAUGGGGGAAACCCUGAUCCAGCCAUCCCGCGUGAGUGAAGAAGGCCUUCGGGUUGUAAAGCUCUUUCGAAAGUGAAGAAAACUUAUUUCGUAAUAUGUUAUAAGUAUGACGGUAACUUUAGAAGAAGCACCGGCUAACUACGUGCCAGCAGCCGCGGUAAUACGUAGGGUGCGAGCGUUAAUCGGAAUUACUGGGCGUAAAGCGUGCGCAGGCGGUUUUGUAAGUCAGAUGUGAAAUCCCCGAGCUUAACUUGGGAACUGCGUUUGAAACUACAAGACUAGAGUGUGUCAGAGGGGGGUAGAAUUCCACGUGUAGCAGUGAAAUGCGUAGAGAUGUGGAGGAAUACCAAUGGCGAAGGCAGCCCCCUGGGAUAACACUGACGCUCAUGCACGAAAGCGUGGGGAGCGAACAGGAUUAGAUACC